rnacentral:tRNA from 1 species
ACCUGGGUGGCUCAGCUAGAUGAGCAUCUGACUCUUGAUUUCAGCUAGCGUCAUGAUCCCAGAGUUGUGGGUUCGAAUCCCACCUCAGGCU